UUUCUUGGUCAUUUAGAGGAAGUAAAAGUCGUAACAAGGUCUCCGUAGGUGAACCUGCGGAGGGAUCAUUACACAAAUAUGAAGGCGGGCUGGAAUCUCUCGGGGUUACAGCCUUGCUGAAUUAUUCACCCUUGUCUUUUGCGUACUUCUUGUUUCCUUGGUGGGUUCGCCCACCACUAGGACAAACAUAAACCUUUUGUAAUUGCAAUCAGCGUCAGUAACAAAUUAAUAAUUACAACUUUCAACAACGGAUCUCUUGGUUCUGGCAUCGAUGAAGAACGCAGCGAAAUGCGAUAAGUAGUGUGAAUUGCAGAAUUCAGUGAAUCAUCGAAUCUUUGAACGCACAUUGCGCCCUUUGGUAUUCCAAAGGGCAUGCCUGUUCGAGCGUCAUUUGUACCCUCAAGCUUUGCUUGGUGUUGGGCGUCUUGUCUCUAGCUUUGCUGGAGACUCGCCUUAAAGUAAUUGGCAGCCGGCCUACUGGUUUCGGAGCGCAGCACAAGUCGCACUCUCUAUCAGCAAAGGUCUAGCAUCCAUUAAGCCUUUUUUCAACUUUGACCUCGGAUCAGGUAGGAUCCCCGGGCUCCG
rnacentral:rRNA from 1 species